GGUUAGAAAGCUAUCAUGAUGGAAGGUUCGUGUAAAUCACCAGUUCUGACGUCAUGUGCUUGCUGGCAAAAGCUAGUAGCGUCUAUGUGAAAAAUCUGAGACGCGUGGGAGGUCAGAGCCAGCGCCUCGAUGUUGGGAUUCUCUUGCUUGAGUAGCUGGUCCGCUGAGCUCUCAUCCGUCUCCGUGCAGGAGCCAGAGGAGUCAGGAGGUGAUACUGGGUGUUGUUCCACAGCCGUAUUGGAUGCCUAGAAAUUCUCUGUGCCUGGGAGUCAAAGAGCAUUUUUAUUAAUAACCAUAAUAUUCUCUAAAACUCCAUACUGCAAAAUUUACAACAAUUGAUAGCUUUACUAAUAAUUAUGAUCAUGAAAAAUAGAUGUGUUUAAACAGGAAUGAAGGCAUGAGCAGCAUUUUCCAAGAAAGGCAUUUUUGUUGGCUCUUGCUUCUCCCCAGGUAUCAGAAAGCAGCUUCCUCUGGGCUGUAUGAUCUCCGUCCCGCAUUUAAGGGAAGCAUCGUGGUUUUCAGUAUCGCCCUUUCUCACAGUGUGUUCACAGUAAACGAAUUUUCAACAGCACUGACUGAGGCAUGAUUUACCGUUUAAUUUUUUGCUUUUUUGUGUUACCAUUAUUACAUUUGUAUUAUAUUUUUUUUAAAUAGUGAAUUAUCAGCAUUGGGGCAUCGGAAAGGUUUUCUUCUCUCUUUUUUGCUCCGUUCUGUCUUCUUCUUGGCGCUACAUAUUAAAUCAGAAAGCAGGGAAGAAUGUGUUUCUGUGCUUCCUCUCUCCCAUGGUCUUCCCUCGAAAGACAGCCCAGCCCAGAGUGCACGCUCACCAGGAAUGGCUGUCUUUUGUUGGGUGCAUAUAGUUUGUUACCAGUAAUUUCCUAUGACAUCAACUCAUUAGACAGUGUGGCCGAGAUGGCAUGUUUAAAUGGAGUCUGGCUUCAGCGUUUCUGGCCCUUUCCUGCUAACAGUUUAAUCAGGAGCUGGAGCCAGUGUUGAAGUUGAUGUAGUCUAGCAUCUGAAACAAAACUUCACAAGUCCUUUGUGGCAGAGGCGGAGGGAAGAAGGGGCUUAGCUGCUGACACUGUGCAGACCCUCUUAAAACCAAACACCUGAAAGAAAAUUUCAAGAGGUCGAUGUCCUGAGAGCUCCAAAGGCAAAGUGUCCUCAGAGUAUUAAAUAACCGUCCUCCUCCCCCACCCUCCCGCACCCCCAUUUGAUGUUUCCCAUCUCGGUGCCCUAUCUCAAAGCCUCAUCCAUGUGAGCCGGAUAAACAGACGCUCACCAUAUCCCUCUCUUUCCUCAUCAAAGCACUGCCUGGUGUCUGGCACAGGCCGGGCUGUGCGUGGCUGUCCAGCGGGUGGUGGUAAAAGUUAUAAAACAUCCCAGAGAGUGCCUCUCUUCCUUGCUGCUUGCCGCCUAGGUUUUAAAGAUGGGCUUAUUGUGUGCUUAGGAAUUACACAAAGGAAAACACACACACACACACACUUUAACAGGAAAUCAUUAGCACUCAUCAGAGGCCAAGCAGUAGAUUACAGCCUUUUUUACCUUCAUCAAAGCUAUCGAGGGACCAGUUAGAUUAGAUAAUAGAUUUUUUUUUCUUCAGAAAGUUGCGUCCAGAUGACUCUAAUUAACUUAUAACACACAUUGGGCUGUACCACUUGAAGAACCCAGUCACUCUGACUCCCACUGGUAGUGACUUCAGUACCAGUUCCCCUGCAAAACCCCUUCCAUCAGCAGGUUCAUCUGCCAUCGUGAUCUCCAGAGAACAUUUUCAGUGAAACUUGUAACUCAGUCAUAAAAUAUGUGUCCCUCUCUCAGACCCGGAGUGGUGCCAUUGUCUGGGGCUCUGCAUGUCUGAAACCAAAAGCAUAUGUUCUCUGUAAUUUAGCUCCUUAAGGAAAGUGUCAAUUCUGCAGUGACUUGGGGUAACUGAGUUUGUCACAGUGUCACACAAGCCUGCGAUUCUAGAGGCACUUCUGAGCGUUGUCGGGUUUCCUUCCCCAAACUCGAUAAUCUUAUAAACAGCCCUCUCCAAAUAGGCUUAUUAAGGCUGUCCAUUCACGUCCCCAUCAGGAGCACCGUGUGAAUGCCCGGCAAGUGUUAACAGAAGAGGUACCGAAUUUCUGAAGAUUUGCCUUUGUUUAUACAGUCCACUCUGCCUGACGGACAGCUUGUUAUAGCUUUUAAAGAACUGGGCAAGCCCUCUGAUCUGACCCCUUCUUGACCUCCGCAGCCCAGAGGUCAGUCUGCAGCUAAUAAAAUCCAAAGCUCUUAGGGUCUACUGUAGGAGCAGGCAGAAAAAGAGCAGCUGCAAGGACUGAAUAUCCCAGGAUCGGCUGCUUUGGGGUCAGUGUCUGAUAAUGAAAAUGAUUACCAAAUUAUAUGGAAGUUUAACCGCAAUAGUGAGAGAGAGGAGGGUGGAGCCCAGCGUAUUAGGUUUGAUAAAUGAACUGUGAAGAGGCCCAUCUGGCUCUCAACAUCUUUUCUCCCCCUCUUUCCUUACCAAGGGGAAACAUUUUAAAAUAACAGCAGUACAUAUAGACUCAAUGACCCAUGCACGGAGCUGGAAUGGAUUAAGAUUUAAUGGUGGCAGUGGAAGGAAUUAUCAUUUGAAAAGUACACCAAAGAAAAGGUACAGUCCGGUGUCCAUGCCUGACUUGUUUUUCUAGAUAAAAAUCUAAAAGCCAGCACCUUGGCUUAUUUUAUACAUAUCCCCAGCAUAUCACCUGGACUACUGAAAAUGCCAAGGUAUUGAUGGCGUAAUUACCCACGUUCAGCUUCAGGGAUAAAGGGGCCCCCUUUGCCUUGAACAUGUCAGAAUGAGCACCAAACAUUUUGUUUCUGCUGGCUUGCUCAGUUCCAGUGAUGGAGGGUAAUGAAAAUGCUUUGC
rnacentral:lncRNA from 1 species